rnacentral:tRNA from 1 species
UUCGUCGUGGCCGAGCUGGUUAAGGCGACAGACUUGAAAUCUGUUGGGCUCUACCUGCACAGAUUCGAAUCCUGUCGGUGACG